rnacentral:rRNA from 1 species
UACAGAGGGGGCAAGCGUUAUUCGGAAUUAUUGGGCGUAAAGGGUGCGUAGGCGGGUCUUUAAGUCAGGGGUGAAAUCCUGGAGCUCAACUCCAGAACUGCCUUUGAUACUGAAGAUCUUGAGUUCGGGAGAGGUGAGUGGAACUGCGAGUGUAGAGGUGAAAUUCGUAGAUAUUCGCAAGAACAUCAGUGGCGAAGGCGGCCUGCUGGGCUGUUGCUGACGCUGAGGCGCGACAGCGUGGGGAGCAAACAGG